AACCUGAUUUAACUAUAAUUAAUUAAAAUACAUAUACAUACACCUUUAAUUGAAUUUACUAACAUCAAUUAAGCCUCAAUUGUAUAGAAUUAGGCAAUCAAUUUUGUGCAUAACAAAUUCCAAAUAAAUCAAACAAGUGGAAUACCUUAGCCGCUAGUAACCCACUCCAUGGAAGCUUCAUUUAAACAAUCGUUAGUAUAAAUUUCAUGCCUCACACAUCGUGUUAUCAAUCACCAUGUUAUAUCAUUCAAUAAUUAAACUCAAACAUGCCUCAAAAUUAUUAUAAAAUCAUUCAAAAUAAAAUGUCCAAUGUCCAAUUACAACCAAAAUUAAACUAAUUCUCGGGAGUUCCACAAUGCCCGAUUAUAGUCUUUAAAAUUUGUAAUAAAGUCUCUACCAAGCCUAAAUCUCUUGGAACUCUCAUGCUCUGCUCCUCAAGCCCAACAAUUAUAUGCACGAAUUGUGAGGGUGUGAGCUUUAAAAAGCUCAAUGAAUGUUAAUAAAAAUGACUAAUAAAUCAACAUUCAAAUCAUGCUUAAACCACAUUCAAUCAAUUAUCAAUUAUCAGCCAUAAUAAAGAAACAUGUCAAUUUAAUUUCCAUAUGUUUUAUCAAUAUCAAGAAUCAAUUAUUCAUGGCUUACAAACAUCGAAUGAUAUAACAAUAAUCACACCUAAAUAUAUUGGCAUACACUUCUCAUGGCUUAAUCGGGUGAUCAUACAUCAAAUAAACAGAUCUCCAAACUCCCACAAAUAUCAAAUACAAUACACUGAGUUGAGUGGCCGAAGCACAUUCUCCCUUAUAGUGCCUCAAAUAACCUAAUGGGUGGAGACUCCUGCUCAACACUCCUUUAUCUACUCCUAACAAAUCAGUCCACCUAAAGCCAUAUGCUUACAAUGUCACAAAUAAAGGUGAGAACUCAUAAAUCCUAUGGCAUGCCAACUAUAUCCAAUGGAUCCACCAUGCAUGUUGCCAAUAUAUUCAGCUAAACAUAGCAUAUAAAUUAGUCAUUAUUGUGCUUAAUUUAAUGUGACAAAAUGCUUAUGUUUAACAUGUAACAUAGCCAUUUAACAUCCAAUUAAAUCAAGCACUUCAUUUGCCAUUUUCCAAUGUUCAAUCACCAAUUGUAACACCAAUAUAUCAUGAUAAAAAAACUCCAAUAAACAUGCUUUAAUCAUCAAUAUAAUUAACCUAAUUAAAUUUCACAAAACCACUUAAAUGCUUACUUACCAUUAUUCAAUAAAAAUUCAACUCUUGUACAUAUAAUAUCAAUCUUGCAAAAAUCAGCCAUUCAACCAUAAUUAAUCAAUUGAAACUAUCAAUUAAGCUACAAAUUAAACAUAAAUGAGAGUGAAUUUACCAAAUCGCCCUUAGAAACACUCACCACACAAUUUAUUCUACCACAAACAAGUGAUCAACCAAGCGAAUCCAAGCUUCAAUUCCGAUUAGCUCGGUCUUCUUUAAGAUUUGGAGCUUCAACAGAGAUAAAGUAGACAUUGUCACCUUUCCAAUGCUAUAAUAAACACGAAUUUUAAUUAACUGUACUAAUCGAAAUCCUCUCACAAAAAUACCUUACUGAAUUUGUAAUAUCAAGUCGGAAACUCGAUUCCUCACAAAAUCAAUCUCUCUAGCCCUCCUAAACACUUUCAUCAAUAAUACUUGACCAAAUACACUUAUACUAAGCAUCAAUUUCAUCUUUAAAUCAAUUUCACAAAAUUCCAGAAAUUCGAAUUUCUUUAAAUUACCUCACAAAUCAUAUAUAAUCUUCAUAAAUAAGAUUAAAAAUCUUUUAAUAAAUCCAUUUUGAGUUGGAACAUCCAUUGAUUUGUGUAUUUCCUCUCAAAAUUCAAGAUCCACCAUUAAAGAACCAUGUGUUCUUGGAAAAAGAUGUCAUUGAUAAAAAUCAUUUAAUUGACUCACAAAUCAUGUAAAAAUGUUUCUAAUCAUCAUAAAAACAAGUUUAGGAUUGAAGAUUACCUUUGAUUCGCUCUAAAUUCGUUGAUUGAAAAUCUUGAUUCAAGAAACUUGAGAAAUUUUAGAAUAUUUUUGGCUACUUUGGAAAAUAAUUUCGAGUGAAUUGAUAGAGUAUUUUGAGAAGGAAAUUAGUUGGAUCUAUUCUCUGAUGAUAGAUCUUUAAAUUCAUGCAAAGAAAACGAAUUUUAAAACUCUC
rnacentral:lncRNA from 1 species